UACGUAGGAGGCAAGCGUUGUCCGGAAUUACUGGGCGUAAAGCGCGUGUAGGUGGUGGGACAAGUCUGCUGUGAAAGCGCCUGGCUUAACCGGGCGAGGUCGGCGGAAACUGUCGCACUCGAGGACGGUAGAGGGGGGUGGAAUUCCCGGUGUAGUGGUGAAAUGCAUAGAGAUCGGGAGGAACACCUGUGGCGAAGGCGGCCCCCUGGGCCGGCCCUGACACUGAGACGCGAAGGCGUGGGGAGCGAACGGG
rnacentral:rRNA from 1 species